rnacentral:tRNA from 1 species
GGGAUGUAGCUCAAUGGUAGAGCACUUAUUUAGCAAGCAUGAAGUCCUGGGUUCAAUCCCCAAUAACUAACA